UAGACUGCAUUUCGCGACUAACUUUAAAAUAUUAUUAAUAAAUUGAUUUGUCGUAGUUAAACAAGUUGGAAAUUAAACUGAAAUAUGCAAUAAAAAAUAAAAUUUUAAUAACGUGUUUAUCCACAUAACGCUAUUUACUUCAGCUAAAAUAAAACCAAUUUUCUCUCAUUAAAGCUGUUGCCAUCUAUUAGGUUUAAAAGAGAUCGCAGCUACAAUAUUCUUUACUUGUUUUUGACUCCAGGUUGAAGAUUCAUCAAGAUGUGUACUUUGUGGCUGAUUUCCUUUGUCGUUGUGCUGGCUUCCAUGUUACCAAGCUGUAAUGCAAUAUCUUGUGAAGUUGAUUCUGGUUGUCUUCUUGGGAGUUGUAUUAAUGGAACCUGUAUCGGUGGUCAAUGUGGAAAAACAUAUUGCCUUCCAUACUAAUGUUUAACCCAGAUUGAAGAAUAAACAGCUUGUUCUUUCUUUGUGGCUUUAUUGAGUUUACCUCCUGCCAUCCAAGUUAUCUUCCGUAAGAGAGAGAAAUGGGGUUUAAUGUCCACUCGACAACAAAACUAGGUCAUUUCGGGACUAACAUGGUUUAAUUUUAUUUCAAUAAUUCACUUGCGCGUAGGGGUCUUUAGCAGUGGGAGGAAACCGGAGGACCCGGAGAAAACCCACGAGGCUGGACAGGCGACCCUACUCCUUGUCACGUACAACCGGGGAUUCGAAACCACGUUGGUUGACUCAAUCACAGGUCUUAUGAUACAGCGCGCACGUGCUAAUCAUUUGGACAUCCAACCCCCCAAAUACGUGGAUGAAAAGAUGGAAAAAGAAGAUGCCUGGGCAAACUUUCACCCAUAGUACACUGUUU